AAUAUGGAACCUCACGUUCUGUUGGAUCCAUUUAAUGCGUGCAGGGAUAAUUUAUUUUAUUUUACAAAUAAAGGAGUAGUAAAUUAGAGAAAACAGCAUUAAAUGUCUAAUUACUUCUCAUAUUGGAUCUCACUCACCGACGUACGUCCAUGCAUUAUAUUCUCACACGUUUACACACCCAUCUAAUUAGCAGUUUAUUCGGAUUUACUAUUCAUGUUUUUUCUUUGUAAAAAAACGAGAAAACUUUU
rnacentral:lncRNA from 1 species